GCCGGGUGCGGUGGCACAAACCUGUAAUCCCAGCUGCUCGGGAGGCUGAGGCAGGAGGUUGAGAGUUCAAAGCCAGCCUCAG
rnacentral:sRNA from 1 species